UACGAAGGGAGCGAGCGUUGUUCGGAAUUACUGGGCGUAAAGCGUGUUUAGGCGGAUCUGUAAGUCAGAUGUGAAAUCCCCCGGCUUAACUGGGGAGGGUCGUUUGAAACUGCAGAUCUUGAGUCUCGGGGAGGUGAGUGGAAUUCCCAGUGUAGAGGUGAAAUUCGUAGAUAUUGGGAGGAACACCAGAGGCGAAAGCGACUCACUAACCGAGCACUGACGCUGUUACACGAAAGCGUGGGGAGCAAACAGG
rnacentral:rRNA from 1 species